CAGAUUGUGAUAGAGAUGAUAUUUAGGAUGAAGCUUGGUUCUUAUAGUCCAAUUCGGAGAAGAAGUCUGGACCUUGGACUCUGUAUAAAUAGGAACACCCCCCACCUUGAUUCUGCAUUCUUCACCAAGAAUCGUGCAUUGGGCAUCUCGAGUCGAAUUGGACGUGGCUUCUCCCUGGGUUUUGAUUAACUGUCUCUGCUGGGAUUUUUUUACUCGUCAUCUUGAGUUGAAUUUGGACGUGGCUUCACCUCGAGCAAACGUGUCCACUCACACAUUUUAGAAGCUUUCAUUUUGACAAGCUUAUGUGUGAAGUUAAUUGUAAUCAUCUCCAUGUUUGAGACAUUCCUCCACCGUAAAGCUUCGUGGCUGCUUGAGGAGUGAUUUCUACUUCUUUAAUUAAAUACACAGUUUUGAAGAAGAGCAUCACAGACACCAUUUGAACCAUCACUCGACAGAGGUAGUCUUAACUUCGCAAGAUGUUGCACGUAUUUGUCUAGGAGUGAAAAGGCAUGGAGCCAUUUGUUACCGAAGUUGAUCUAUGUCUCCACUAUUUCUGCCACUAUCUUAUGCCAGGUAACAAGAAUCAUACGGCUCCCAUCUCUCUUGCGUUUUUGUGGCUGUAACUUAGUGAUCGAAGGUGAGCUGAGUGAAUGCUGCAAACUCUCUGAUCAAGGGUGGAGUGAUUUCUUCCUUUGGUGUUGAAACUCUGCACGGGGAUCAUCUUGGAGCAGCUUCCCCACUAUUGUGAACCCAAGAACUUUGCAGAUUUGUCCUUGGCGUGAACCAACAGCCCGAGGCUUUCACUUGACACUCAU